AUUGAACGCUGGCGGCAGGCCUAACACAUGAAAGUCGAACGAGUGGCGGACGGGUGAGUAAUGUCUGGGAAACUGCCCGAUGGAGGGGGAUAACUACUGGAAACGGUGGCUAAUACCGCAUACCAUCGGAUGUGCCCAGAUGGGAUGAGCUAGGAGGUGGGGUAAUGGCUCACCGAGGCGACGAUCCCUAGCUGGUCUGAGAGGAGGACCAGCCACCCUGGAACGUAGACAGGGUCCAGACCCCUACGGGAGGCAGCAGUGGGGAAUAGUGCACAAUGGGCGCAAGCCUGAUGCAGCCAUGCCGCGUGUAUGAAGAAGGCUUUCGGGUUGUAAAGUACUUUCAGCUGGGAGGCGUUACCCUCAGAAGAAGCACCGGCUAACUCCGUGCCAGCAGCCGCGGUAAUUC
rnacentral:rRNA from 1 species